CUGAGCAGAAGCCAGCAGAGCGGAGAAUCAGGUGGUCUUGAACUGAGGCUGAAGUUUGCACUUGGUCAGCAGGAGGUCAAGCUGCUCACACCACCACUAGCCCCAGGGUCCCUACCACACCUGCCGCCUUAGGAGACAAUCCAUUGUGAAGAAGAAAAAGCCGCAGGAAAUCGAGUGAAUGAAUAAAUCCUUCUAAGUGCGUGAACUUCACACAAGAAGAA